rnacentral:lncRNA from 1 species
AUCAGUACUUGUGGAUGCAAAUGCCGUGUAGUAAAUGUAUAUACUGUGAGACAUAUCCUGUCGAAAUGCUUCGCUUUGAGUCCCAUUGAUUUAAUUUGGAUAGUUAGGCGCAAGUCUAAAACUCUCACUUCAAAAUUCUAAGGAUUUAACACUGACUGGAUUGUGUCAUGUCAGGAGGUGGAUGUAGUUGUUGACUAAUUGUGGCAGAUACCAGUUAAGAGUUAUAAGGGUCUGAGGAGGAGCGUACAAUGAAAGAUGCAGCAGAAAUAUUUGCUAACACCUUGUACUUUGCUGUUCUCACAAGCUAAAGAAUGCCCUGGUCAUUUAUAAAGUGUGUGGAGACAUUUUCUUUUUAGACUGCAUAUGCUCUUUUGGAGGACCGUGCUGUAAGAGCAUGGCAGGAAGGGAGAGCCAGCUUGGCCUGCUGAGGCACCAGAUAUGUGUUUUCCUCUUUUUGAAUUUUUAUUUGGCACUAUGAGAGAGUGCUCACACUUUCUCAAAUAAAAUCUACAGUUUUAACCAUUUAAUCCUGUGCACGUAAUAAUUCCCUGUGGCAUUUGUGUAAGUCUCAUAGGUCCGCUUCAUGUGGUUUCUGUAUGAAUGUUGAAGUACCCUUUUCAUCUGUGUUCCUGCUGAAGGGUCAGUGCCCAAGCAAUUUAUUAUUCUUUUAUUUAAUUCAUUUAUAUACUGCCUGAUGGCUGAGGCUCUCUGGGCAGUUAUAGUUGUCUGUACAGUAUUUACUGCAAUGUUCUUCAUUAAUUGCAUUUUGACUUCAAUCUACCUCUUUUUGGUGAGCCCUGUACACUGUCGUUCUUCCUUCCAAAGCAUAUUUGCAAUAUUUUGUGUUGUAUGUUUACUUCCUUCACUUUUUCCCCCUCACAGUUUCGUUUAAGUGAAUUUGGAACACUGGAACUCAUUACAGAAGUUGAAGCAAAAGCUGCAAAAGCUUUCUCUGCCUCAGUAAAUACCAAUUCAUCUGUCCUUAACUUGUCUACUGCUCCCAAUACCAAAACUACCUGUGAUUACAAAGAGGUCAGAGGCAGCAUUCCCAAAUCUGAGCUCCAAACCAGUGAAAAUAGCAGGCACCCUGGGCAGAUGGACAGCUUUGAGAAUUCUCACCAGGACUGUAAAGAGAGGUGGUGACUUGUUUGAUCUAUAUUUCAUAUACCAUAUUAGCAUCUUUCAAAUAGGCUCCCAGAGCACAAAUAGAAUAUGGA